rnacentral:rRNA from 1 species
UAUGUAGGGUGCGAGCGUUAAUCGGAAUUACUGGGCGUAAAGCGUGCGCAGGCGGUUUUGUAAGCCAGAUGUGAAAUCCCCGGGCUUAACCUGGGAAUGGCAUUUGGGACUGCAAGGCUUGAGUGCGGCAGAGGAGACUGGAAUUCCUGGUGUAGCAGUGAAAUGCGUAGAUAUCAGGAGGAACACCGAUGGCGAAGGCAGGUCUCUGGGCUGACACUGACGCUCAUGCACGAAAGCGUGGGGAGCAAAC